rnacentral:rRNA from 1 species
GACGAACGCUGGCGGCGUGCUUAACACAUGCAAGUCGAGCGGUAAGGCCCUUUCGGGGGUACACGAGCGGCGAACGGGUGAGUAACACGUGGGUGACCUGCCCUCAGCUCUGGGAUAAGCCUGGGAAACCGGGUCUAAUACUGGAUAUGACUCCAUGACGCAUGUUGUGGGGUGGAAAGCCUUGUGCGGCUGAGGAUGGGCCCGCGGCCUAUCAGCUUGUUGGUGGGGUGAGGCCUACCAAGGCGACGACGGGUAGCCGGCCUGAGAGGGCGACCGGCCACACUGGGACUGAGACACGGCCCAGACUCCUACGGGAGGCAGCAGUGGGGAAUCUUGCGCAAUGGGCGAAAGCCUGACGCAGCCGACGCCGCGUGAGGGAUGA